rnacentral:rRNA from 1 species
AAUCAACGCUGGCGGCGUGCCUAACACAUGCAAGUCGCGCGCGAAAGGGGGGCAACUCCCGAGUAAAGCGGCGAACGGGUGAGUAACACGUGGGUAAUCUACCUUCGAGUGGGGAACAACACCGGGAAACUGGUGCUAAUUCCGCAUGACAUCGUCGGGGCUUCGGUUCUGACGCUCAAAGCUGGGGAUCGCAAGACCUAGCGCUUGAAGAUGAGCCCGCGUCCGAUUAGCUAGUGGCGGGGUAAUGGCCCACCAAGGCUUCGAUCGGUAGCCGGCCUGAGAGGGCGGACGGCCACACUGGAACUGAGACACGGUCCAGACUCCUACGGGAGGCAGCAGUGGGGAAUUUUUCGCAAUGGGGGCAACCCUGACGAAGCAACGCCG